UACGUAGGGUCCGAGCGUUGUCCGGAAUUAUUGGGCGUAAAGAGCUCGUAGGCGGUCUGUCGCGUCGGCUGUGAAAACACGGGGCUCAACUCCGUGCCUGCAGUCGAUACGGGCAGACUAGAGUUCGGUAGGGGAGACUGGAAUUCCUGGUGUAGCGGUGAAAUGCGCAGAUAUCAGGAGGAACACCGGUGGCGAAGGCGGGUCUCUGGGCCGAAACUGACGCUGAGGCACGAAAGCGUGGGGAGCAAACAGG
rnacentral:rRNA from 1 species